rnacentral:rRNA from 1 species
CACGUAGGGUGCGAGCGUUGUCCGGAAUUAUUGGGCGUAAAGGGCUCGUAGGCGGUUUGUCGCGUCGGGAGUGAAAACCCAGGGCUUAACCCUGGGCUGGCUUCCGAUACGGGCAGACUAGAGGUAUGCAGGGGAGAACGGAAUUCCUGGUGUAGCGGUGAAAUGCGCAGAUAUCAGGAGGAACACCGGUGGCGAAGGCGGGUCUCUGGGCCGUAACUGACGCUGAGGAGCGAAAGCAUGGGGAGCGAACAGG